GACCACUUCGAUGGCCUAGUGGUUAGAGCAUCCGCCUCUGAUAUGGUAUGUCACGGGUUCAAACACCGGUCAAGUCA